UCAGGCCUAAACAUGCAAGUCGAGGGGUAGAAGGAGCUUGCUCCUUUGAGACCGGCGCACGGGUGCGUAACGCGUAUGCAAUCUACCUUUUACAGAGGGAUAGCCCAGAGAAAUUUGGAUUAAUACCUCAUAGUAUAUAUCAUUCGCCUGUUUGAUAUAUUAAAGUUCCAACGGUAAAAGAUGAGCAUGCGUCCCAUUAGUUAGUUGGUAAGGUAACGGCUUACCAAGACGAUGAUGGGUAGGGGUCCUGAGAGGGAGAUCCCCCACACUGGUACUGAGACACGGACCAGACUCCUACGGGAGGCAGUAGUGAGGAAUAUUGGUCAAUGGACGCAAGUCUGAAAAGGCCAUGCCGCGUGCAGGAAGACGGUCCUAUGCAUUGGAAGGUGCUUUUGUACGGGAAGAAACACUCCUAC
rnacentral:rRNA from 1 species